GAAGGUAUAGUUCAAGUGGUAGAGUGCAUGCUUAGCAUGCAUGAAGUCCUGGUUCAAUCCCCAGUACGUCCU
rnacentral:tRNA from 1 species